GUUGGACAAUCGAUUGUUAAUUGCAUCAGGAAUUGCCUUUAAAACCGCGGGUGGGUGAUUACUCUGACGAUGGACAUAUUGAAGCGUAUUUCCCGGUUUCAUGUACGGUUUAAACGAGGAAUUUCUUAGGUCAAAUGUGACAUCUAGGUAAUUGACACAUUUUUUGUUAGCUUCGAUUGUAAUCUUUAAAUUAUAUUCAUUAAAAGUUCUGCAAAAUUGCUUCUUGAUAUUUUCUAUUGCUCUCGGUUGUUUGUCAAACGCUGCAAGGCCAUCGAUCAUCUCUGUAGAGACCAAUAUCAUUUCGAUAUUCUGGAGGAAGUUUGGAUAGUAAGAAUAAACCAACUAGCUAGCUCGCAUGUUUCCGCACCAUCAAAACUGCCCAUCGUUACAUCAAAGAGGUUAUUUGACUCUUUCUU
rnacentral:lncRNA from 1 species